rnacentral:tRNA from 1 species
GGUUCCAUAGUGUAGCUGUUAGCACGUCUGCUUUAUAUGUUGAAGAUUCUGGGUUCACACCCCAGUGGAGCCA